CUGGAGGUAUCAGAAGUGCGAAUGCUGACAUAAGUAACGAUAAAGCGGGUGAAAAGCCCGCUCGCCGGAAGACCAAGGGUUCCUGUCCAACGUUAAUCGGGGCAGGGUGAGUCGACCCCUAAGGCGAGGCCGAAAGGCGUAGUCGAUGGGAAACGGGUUAAUAUUCCCGUACUUGGUGUUACUGCGAAGGGGGGACGGAGAAGGCUAUGUUGGCCGGGCGACGGUUGUCCCGGUUUAAGCGUGUAGGCUGGUUUUCCAGGCAAAUCCGGAAAAUCAAGGCUGAGGCGUGACGACGAGGCACUACGGUGCUGAAGCAACAAAUGCCCUGCUUCCAGGAAAAGCCUCUAAGCAUCAGGUAACAUCAAAUCGUACCCCAAACCGACACAGGUGGUCAGGUAGAGAAUACCAAGGCGCUUGAGAGAACUCGGGUGAAGGAACUAGGCAAAAUGGUGCCGUAACUUCGGGAGAAGGCACGCUGACACGUAGGUGAAGUGAUUUACUCAUGGAGCUGAAGUCAGUCGAAGAUACCAGCUGGCUGCAACUGUUUAUUAAAAACACAGCACUGUGCAAACACGAAAGUGGACGUAUACGGUGUGACGCCUGCCCGGUGCCGGAAGGUUAAUUGAUGGGGUCAGCGCAAGCGAAGCUCCUGAUCGAAGCCCCGGUAAACGGCGGCCGUAACUAUAACGGUCCUAAGGUAGCGAAAUUCCUUGUCGGGUAAGUUCCGACCUGCACGAAUGGCGUAAUGAUGGCCAGGCUGUCUCCACCCGAGACUCAGUGAAAUUGAACUCGCUGUGAAGAUGCAGUGUACCCGCGGCAAGACGGAAAGACCCCGUGAACCUUUACUAUAGCUUGACACUGAACAUUGAGCCUUGAUGUGUAGGAUAGGUGGGAGGCUUUGAAGUGUGGACGCCAGUCUGCAUGGAGCCGACCUUGAAAUACCACCCUUUAAUGUUUGAUGUUCUAACGUGGACCCGUGAUCCGGGUUGCGGACAGUGUCUGGUGGGUAGUUUGACUGGGGCGGUCUCCUCCUAAAGAGUAACGGAGGAGCACGAAGGUUGGCUAAUCCUGGUCGGACAUCAGGAGGUUAGUGCAAUGGCAUAAGCCAGCUUGACUGCGAGCGUGACGGCGCGAGCAGGUGCGAAAGCAGGUCAUAGUGAUCCGGUGGUUCUGAAUGGAAGGGCCAUCGCUCAACGGAUAAAAGGUACUCCGGGGAUAACAGGCUGAUACCGCCCAAGAGUUCAUAUCGACGGCGGUGUUUGGCACCUCGAUGUCGGCUCAUCACAUCCUGGGGCUGAAGUAGGUCCCAAGGGUAUGGCUGUUCGCCAUUUAAAGUGGUACGCGAGCUGGGUUUAGAACGUCGUGAGACAGUUCGGUCCCUAUCUGCCGUGGGCGCUGGAGAACUGAGGGGGGCUGCUCCUAGUACGAGAGGACCGGAGUGGACGCAUCACUGGUGUUCGGGUUGUCAUGCCAAUGGCACUGCCCGGUAGCUAAAUGCGGAAGAGAUAAGUGCUGAAAGCAUCUAAGCACGAAACUUGCCCCGA
rnacentral:rRNA from 1 species